AUCAAUAAGCGGAGGAAAAGAAACCAACAGGGAUUGCCCCGAUAACGGCGAGUGAAGCGCAACAGCUCAAAUUUGNAACUCGGCCCUUUUGGGUCCGAGUUGUAAUUUGUAGAGGAUGNUUUUGGCAAGGUGCCGCCCGAGUUCCCUGGAACGGGACGCCACAGAGGGUGAGAGCCCCGUCUGGCUGGCCACCGAGCCUCUGUAAAGCUCCUUCGACGAGUCGAGUAGUUUGGGAAUGCUGCUCAAAAUGGGAGGUAUAUGUCUUCUAAAGCUAAAUAUUGGCCAGAGACCGAUAGCGCACAAGUAGAGUGAUCGAAAGAUGAAAAGCACCUUGAAAAGAGGGUUAAAUAGUACGUGAAAUUGUUGAAAGGGAAGCGCUUGUGACCAGACUUGGGCGCGGCGGAUCAUCCGGGGUUCUCCCCGGUGCACUUCGCCGUGUCCAGGCCAGCAUCAGUUCGUCGCGGGGGAAAAAGGCUUCGGGAACGUGGCUCCCCUGGGAGUGUUAUAGCCCGUUGCAUAAUACCCUGCGGUGGACUGAGGACCGCGCAUCUGCAAGGAUGCUGGCGUAAUGGUCACCAGCGACCCGUCUUGAAACACGGACCAAGGAGUCGUCUUCGUAUGCGAGUGUUCGGGUGUCAAACCCCUACGCGUAAUGAAAGUGAACGCAGGUGAGAGCUUCGGCGCAUCAUCGACCGAUCCUGAUGUUCUCGGAUGGAUUUGAGUAAGAGCAUACGGGGCCGGACCCGAAAGAAGGUGANCUAUGCCUGUAUAGGGUGAAGCCAGAGGAAACUCUGGUGGAGGCUCGCAGCGGUUCUGACGUGCAAAUCGAUCGUCAAAUAUGGGCAUGGGGGCGAAAGACUAAUCGAACCUUCUAGUAG
rnacentral:rRNA from 1 species